ACUGCACUCCAGCCUGGGUGACUCCGUCUCAAGAAAAAAAAAAGAAAAAGAAAAAGAAUUUGCUUGCAACUUAACAUGCGUAGUACCUAUCUCCCGAGUGACCCUUUUUGGGAAUAAAUGACCUGAUUCACAUUUUUUUUAACCAUGGUUUCAGAGCAAAAGGGAAACCAGAGUCUGAUAAGGAAACGUAAGACUUGACAAGCUGAAAUCUUAUUAGCUCCUAGAGAUAUACAUGCAACGAAAAACACCUAGGAGAUCCAGCGGCAUGUGGGGCGUUAUGGCACCGCUGGGGGUACUUUAGCAUGUACAACUGCCCUCGUAAAUCAGCAGGCCUUACCACAAUCACUUUGCCACCAUCACCUUACCUUUGCAAACAAGCCAGGCCAAAAAGGCUCAACAUUUACACCGGCUGCUUUAAUGAGGGCAUUGAUCUUAUCCUCCUACAACAAAUAAAAACGUCAAUCCAUCAAAACGUAGCGUAUGUAAUAUCUCCAAAAUGCUGCACGUCACUCAAUAAGUGUACAUAACAUGUUUAACCAGCUCAAAUAUUCUAUCACAAGCAAAAGAGAUGUGUGCCAGGCGCCCUGCAAUGAGGCGAGCCCAUCACUGCUGUUUCACGGGCUGGGACUUGCCUGAGUCACGCGGCUAUUUUUAAGUUACAAGACCUGGGAGGUGGAGCCGAGCUCGGGCGCCUUCCUCCACGACCGGGGGAAUUCAAGGCAAUUACACCGAAAGAGGUCCGAGUAAGUGUCCCUGAGAGAGACGAGGCACGGGUCAGGGUGCCCAAGCACUGCGGAAGAGCUUUUCUACACGAAGGCUCUUGGAGCCGGAUGAAGUGAGGGCCUCACCCCAACGCAGCCUUAGCUUCCUCGGAAGGACCGAGCACCUUGGCGGCAGCUGAGGAAAG
rnacentral:lncRNA from 1 species